AGCUAACGCAGGGAACUGAAACAUCUUAGUACCUGUAGGAAGAGAAAAUAAAUGAAUGAUUCCCCCAGUAGUGGCGAGGGAACGGGGAAGAGCCCAAACCGCAGUUGUUACGGCAUCUGCGGGGUUGUAGGACCACGAUGUCGCAUGACAUCUUGCGAGCAGAACAUUCUGGAAAGUAUGACCACAGACGGUGACGGUCCGGUAUGCGAAGCAAGACGAAGCGUAGUGGUAUCCUGAGUAGCGCG
rnacentral:rRNA from 1 species